UACGUAGGGGGCAAGCGUUGUCCGGAUUUAUUGGGCGUAAAGAGCGUGUAGGCGGCCGCACAGGUCCGUUGUGAAAACUGGAGGCUUAACCUUCAGACGUCGAUGGAAACCGUGCGGCUAGAGUCCGGAAGAGGAGAAUGGAAUUCCUGGUGUAGCGGUGAAAUGCAUAGAUACCAUCCAGAACACCGAUUGCGUAGGCAGCUUACUAGGCUGUAACUGACGCUGAGGCACGAAAGCGUGGGGAGCGAACAGG
rnacentral:rRNA from 1 species